CUGCAUCUGCCGCUAGGAUUUAUCGGGUGUUAGCGGCCGUCGUGAGUUCCCUUCGGGAACGGACACGAUAAUUUACUUUACUUACUCAUUUCUGGAAAACCACCACGGUGGUGAGUGUGAUUGCUCUGGUAGACCACUACUGAACAGUUGCUUUGUGAGUGAAAAACGUGUAUCUUUCACUUCUGUGACUUCUGCUUUUAAUUGAAUCUGCUCAUAUUCUGUCUAACACCAGCUCUGCCAUCCAGGGAGCGGGUGCCAUCUAUCAAUGAUAAUGAUGGUGAUGGCACAUACCACAAGCGUGCUGUAGACCCUGCUGAUCUACCAGGGGAUGAUGAAGACAGUUGGAUUGCUUCAUCUGGUGAGGGGCAUGCCAUAUCAGCUGAGAAGGAGAACAUACGGCAUGUGGAAAAAUCCAGGGGAGGAGCGGAAGAAGAGGAUGAUGAAGACAGUUGGAUUCCUUCAUCUGGUGAGGGGCAUGCCAUAUCAGCUGAGCAGAAGAACUUAAUAUGGCAUGCGGGAGAAUCCAGAGGAGCAGCAGAAGAAG